AGCUCUGUGGUGUUUGACAUGCGAGAUUGCAAAUCUCGAGUAGUAGAAUAAGAUCUACCGGGGCUU
rnacentral:tRNA from 1 species